CGGUUGCGAUUUAAGUUCUUAUAC
rnacentral:siRNA from 1 species